AUUAACCAACGAGUGAAUAAAGAAAACGUGGGUCGGUAGAGGAAGGAGGAGGAGGUCGGGUUGUAGAAGCUGGAGUGGCCGGCAGCGCACUCAUCGGUGCUCGCGGGCUUUGUCGGUCCGUGCCUCGUCUCUCCCUGGAAAGGGAGGGAGGCUUCGACGUCGACAGGGAGCCGCUGCCGCCGUAGUUCCGAGCUUGAAGUCGCUAGGACUUCUCUCAAACUUGUGUGCUGAGGAGACAGAUGUGGGCCUCAUCUCCUAGGAUGAACUCAGCAGAUCGGCCCAUGAAAACUUCUGUAUUGAGACAAGGGAAAGGAUCUGUUAGAAAGCAGCACUUCUUAUCUUGGGCUUGGCAGCAAGGAAGAGGACAGGUAUUGGAAAUGCUGCUUUCUGAAAAGCAGACUGAAGGGUGACAAAGAAGCUGAAGAUGGGUGGUGGAGAGCGGUAUAACAUUCCAGCGCCUCAAUCUGGAAAUGUUAGUAAGAACCAACAACAGCUUAACAGACAGACCAAGGAUCAGAAUUCCCAGAUGAAGAUUGUUCAUAAGAAAAAAUGAAAGAGGACAUGGUUAUAACGCAUCAGCAGCUGCUUGGCAGGCCACGCAAAACGGUGGAAAGAACAAAAAUUUUCCAAAUAAUCAAAGUUGGAACUCUAGCUUAUCAGGUCCCAGCUUACUUUUCAAAUCUCAAGCUAUUCAGAACUAUGCUGGUGCCGAACUUAGCGAGCUGCCAUCGUCAAGUGUUCUUCCCAAACCACCAAGCCACUGGGUCCCUGUGUCCUUUAAUCCUUCAGAGAAGGAAAUAACGAUAUUUCAACUUAGAGCCUUACUUAAAGUACAGGUAUAAAAAAAGACCAAGUACUUAUGCUUAAAUUUAGUUAUGUUUAUGGAUAGUUGUCAAUUGGUCUGAAACGAAUUCGCCAGGGAGUUGAUCUAUUUGUGUAGAACUGCUAAUUAAUGUAAAAAAUAUAGACUGCAUCUCACGUAUGUGUUGUGUGCACUGUGACGUAAUGGUGGUAUCAGCGCAACUGAAAACUAAAUUAACAAUUGUACUUGAUAUUAAGUGUUCUCAACUGAGUAACUUUUAAGGGGAAACCAGCCAAGUUUAGAUUUGGGGAGUGGUAAAGGAAUCAGCUUUUUCUAUUGUUAGAAGAAGACAGGAAUUUAUCAUUCAUGGACCAGACUGUUGUGUUGGUGAAUCACAUGAUAAGCGUCUAACACAAGGAGUCAGAUUUAGGUAAACAUCUGCAAGUUUAGUAUACUGGAAACACCCAAAUCUGUAAUAUGCUGACAAUCUGAUGCACUGCUGAAAGAAAAUGUGAAUUUUUCUUAAUAAUUGUAUUUUAGUGAAUUAUACAGUGGGUGGAAAGGACAUUUGGAGCUCAUUAGAAUGAGACAUAGUACACCCCAAUGGCCCUGUUUAUUAAAUGUAGUGGAUUAAGUGUCUGCCAACAAAUACAUCAAAACCA